AUAAGCGGAGGAAAAGAAACCAACAGGGAUUGCCCCAGUAACGGCGAGUGAAGCGGCAGCAGCUCAGAUUUGGAAUCCGGCCCCCCUCGCGGGGGCCCGAGUUGUAAUCUGCAGAGGAUGCUUUUGGCGAGGCGCCUUCCGAGUUCCCUGGAACGGGACGCCACAGAGGGUGAGAGCCCCGUCUGGUCGGACGCCGAGCCUCUGUAAAGCUCCUUCGACGAGUCGAGUAGUUUGGGAAUGCUGCUCUAAUCGGGAGGUAUAUGUCUUCUAAAGCUAAAUACCGGCCAGAGACCGAUAGCGCACAAGUAGAGUGAUCGAAAGAUGAAAAGCACUUUGAAAAGAGGGUUAAACAGUACGUGAAAUUGUUGAAAGGGAAGCGCUCGUGACCAGACUUGGUCCCUGCGGAUCAGCCGGCGCGUCCGCGCCGGCGCACUCCGCCGGGUUCCAGGCCAGCAUCAGUUCGCGCCGGGGGACAAAGGCGGCGGGAACGUGGCUCCCUCGGGAGUGUUAUAGCCCGCCGCGCAAUGCCCUGGGGCGGACUGAGGUUCGCGCGUCCCGCACGGAUGCUGGCGUAAUGGUCACCAGCGACCCGUCUUG
rnacentral:rRNA from 1 species